rnacentral:rRNA from 1 species
GGAGCUUGCUCCCAGGCGUCGAGUGGCGGACGGGUGAGUAAUACAUAGGAAUCUGCCCAGUAGCGGGGGACAACCUGGUGAAAACCAGGCUAAUACCGCAUACGCCCUACGGGGGAAAGCAGGGGAUCUUCGGACCUUGCACUAUUGGAUGAGCCUAUGUCAGAUUAGCUUGUUGGUGGGGUAAUGGCCUACCAAGGCGACGAUCUGUAGCUGGUCUGAGAGGACGAUCAGCCACACUGGGACUGAGACACGGCCCAGACUCCUACGGGAGGCAGCAGUGGGGAAUAUUGCACAAUGGGCGAAAGCCUGAUGCAGCAAUGCCGCGUGUGUGAAGAAGGCCUGCGGGUUGUAAAGCACUUUCAGUGGGGAGGAAACAGUUGCGGGUUAAUAACCCGUGGCCUUGACGUACCCACAGAAGAAGCACCGCUAACU